AUUGAACGCUGGCGGCAGGCCUAACACAUGCAAGUCGAACGAGUGGCGGACGGGUGAGUAAUAUCUGGGAAACUGCCCGAUGGAGGGGGAUAACUACUGGAAACGGUAGCUAAUACCGCAUCCCAUCGGAUGUGCCCAGAUGGGAUUAGCUAGUAGGUGGGGUAACGGCUCACCUAGGCGACGAUCCCUAGCUGGUCUGAGAGGAGGACGAGCCACCCUGGAACUGAGACACGGUCCAGACGCCUACGGGAGGCAGCAGUGGGGAAUAUGGGACAAGGGGGGCAAGCCUGAUGCAGCAAUGCCGAGUGUAGGAAGAAGGCCUUCGGGUUGUAAAGUAGUGUCAGCGAGGAGGCGUUACUCGCAGAAGAAGCAUCGGCUAACUCCGUGCCAGCAGCCGCGGUAAUAC
rnacentral:rRNA from 1 species